rnacentral:sRNA from 1 species
AACGGACCUCAGAGGUUGUCUGAAGGCCGAGGGCAAGAUGGCGGCGCUGUCAGGUGAGCGCGGCGCCGGCGGCGGGUGUGGGGCAGCGCGGGUCUGGGGCCGUGGGAGCGUCGGGUGCCGUGGUGGCGUCGGGGGUCGGUGCCGGCGUCGUGGCCGCGGUCCCCUCCCGGCUUCUCCGAGCCGGCCGCUCCUCGGGCUCCCUCCCGGCUUGCGAUGAACGGUCUCCGUUACUGCGUCCAGAGUACGGUCGGGGAAACCGAGGCCCGCUCCUGGCCUGCGCAGCUUCUGGAUCCUUGGUCUUCGCUCCAGCGUGGGCACAGCUGUGCAGGCACAAGGUGUUCAUCAGAGCGUGGCCACCGAUGGCCCAAGCAGGUGAAGCUGGCCUUCUGGGGGAGGUUGUACCCCCCCCCGCCCCACCCCCAUCCCUUCCGCAUUUUCUGCAUCAGUGCCGCAGCCACUGGGGUGCCUGGAUGGGGCAGGGAGGGGGUCGCACAUCCCAGUCCCUGACCUCAUGUGGGUCCAGGCCUCUGGCAGCGGCCGUGGGGGCUGGCAUCCGCCUCUGGGAUGCACCUGUGUGGCUGACGCCUCCUGUGCCCAUGUGUCUCUGUGCCAGCACCCAGCCUGCCCUGCCAAAGGCCAGAGCCGUGGCUCCCAAACCCAGCAGCCGGGGCGAGUAUGUGGUGGCCAAGCUGGAUGACCUCAUCAACUGGGCCCGCCGGAGUUCUCUGUGGCCCAUGACCUUCGGCCUGGCCUGCUGCGCCGUGGAGAUGAUGCACAUGGCCGCACCCCGCUACGACAUGGACCGCUUCGGCGUGGUCUUCCGCGCCAGCCCGCGCCAGUCCGACGUCAUGAUCGUGGCCGGCACACUCACCAACAAGAUGGCCCCAGCGCUUCGCAAGGUAGGCCUCGUCCCCGCCGCCCAGCCGCCCCCAGAGUGAGCUGCGCACGGACCCCGUCUCUCUUCCAGGUCUACGACCAGAUGCCGGAGCCGCGCUACGUGGUCUCCAUGGGGAGCUGCGCCAACGGAGGAGGCUACUACCACUACUCAUACUCGGUGGUGAGGGGCUGCGACCGCAUCGUGCCUGUGGACAUCUACAUCCCAGGUAGGGCCGGGACCGCACCGCCCACGAGGGAGCUGGGGACAGGGCCAGCGCCACACGGAGCCCGGCGGCCCCUGUGAGGGAGUCCCACACCCCAAGCAGACGGCGGGCUCCCCCAUCCUGUGGAUGGGCCGACUCGGGGCUCUCCCUCUUAGUGGAGCGUGUCCCCUAUGAGAAGUCAGCGAUGUAUUCAGGCAUCAGAGGGAUCAGAGGGAGGAGGGGAGGCGGAGUGGAAUUCCUGACACUCGCCUGGUUUACAGCAGUUUCAUAUGGUCCUGCCUGACAGAAACCAAAGACCUGCAGUUAGAAAUACCAAGAGAGAAGGUUCCUGGAGGCCAAGACACUAUCCCGCGCCCUCAGCCUUACAGAAGGGCACGAGGACUCCCUGGGACCCGGGGUGGCCGGAUUUGGCACAUGAAAACGUAGGAGGCUUAGUUUGACAGUGAGGUUAGGGUGAAUUUGACCAUCAGGAAAACAAUUAGUAGUAAUUGUUUAGUACGAGUAUAUCCCAACAAUAUUUGGGCUAUACUGACACUAAAAAGAGCAUUGGCUGCAUACCUGAAAUUCACGUCGCACGGGGAACAUUCUUUAUAUCUGGUGAUCCCGUGGGACUCUUGCGCCUCACGUGGUCCCACGAGGGCCACCCCCCCCGGAGCGCUCGCCUUGACAAUGGUCCACGGUAGGCAGGCUUGGAGGUGGCGCUCAUGUGGGACAGGGGACAGAGGUCCUGUUCUUGGCCACCUUGUGCUGCGGCAGUAGCGCAUGCGCAGAGAGCCCAGCCCUGAGUCCCGAGUCUGGGGGGUUGGGCAAGCAGGAGGCACAUCCUGGCGCCUCUCAAAAGUGGAGGAACAGGCUCUGACUUUGGAUUCCACUUCCCUGGAAAGGGCGUUGAUUUGUUCAGCGUUCUGCAUGGUUCAGGUCACCUGGGGGCAGUGGACAGAGCAGCCUGGGCCUCCCCGUGACCCUCAUCAGCGCAGAGAGGUCCAUCCCGGGGUCAAGAGCUUAGCCCAUGCCCCUGGUGUCUUCCCCUGCAGUGCAGACCAAAGGGGCAGGUUGUGAGCGUGGACUGCGCUCCUCCCUCCCUGGGGACUGCGCUCCUCCCUCCCUCCUCGCAGACUGUGCUUCUCCCUCCCUUGGAGCAGCCUGGACUUGCCAGAGCUCUGCCAGGUGGGGCCUGGCCGCCCUUUCCCAGGCCCUGCAGUGGCCUUGUCCUUCCCCACCUGUUUCCACUCCUGCUGUCCCCGUUGGGCCCUGGGCUUCGUCCUCUUGCUCAAGCCCUUUGCUAUGAGCCUGCCUGGCAGCUGGGGCUAGGGGAUCCCCAGCAAAGACCUCUGGCUUGGAGCUCAGAAAGGGGGUCAUCGGGUCCUCGUGGGAUGCCUGGGCUCUGGGCCACCUCCCCUCCCUCCGCCCAGCCUCCCUGCCUCCAUCUCCGUCCAGUGCAGCCCCGGGUCCUGCUCCCCACUGCUAAGUGUGUCUGGUGAGCGCUGGCCCCCAUGGAGUCCUGAGGGCUAGGGCCGGGGCCGGGUUAGUGAGGUCAGCGUCUUGUCCAAGAGGUUCCUGUGACAGCCCGGGAUGAGCCAUGGGUGGAGGGCAGUGGGGCCUUGCCCAGGGGAGGACCCCACUCUUCCUGCAGGGACCUCCCCUGCGCCGGCUCCCAAACCCUGACCUCUGCGCCCACCCAGGGCUGUCAGCCUCCACCUUCAGAGGCCGGCACGGGAGACCCCUCAAAAGCCGAGCCGGCUGCGCUGUGCACGCGGUCAUGCAGGCUCUGGCUGCGAGAAGGGAGACUGAGGCAAGGUCCCUGCAGGCUGCCCACCCACGGCCGAGGCCCUGCUGUACGGCAUCCUGCAGCUGCAGAGGAAGAUCAAGAGGGAGCGGAGGCUGCAGAUCUGGUACCGCAGGUAGCGCCGCCGCCGCCACCUGAGCCUGUCGCCGUCCUGUCCCCAGCCUGCUUGUGUCCCGUGAGGUUGUCAAUAAACCUGCCAUCGGGCUGCUGCC